rnacentral:rRNA from 1 species
CCUACGGGUGGCAGCAGUGAGGAAUAUUGGUCAAUGGACGCAAGCCUGAACCAGCCAUGCCGCGUGAAGGAUGACGGCCCUAUGGGUUGUAAACUGCUUUUGUACGAGGGUAAACGCAGAUACGUGUACCUGUCUGAAAGUACCGUACGAAUAAGGAUCGGCUAACUCCGUGCCAGCAGCCGCGGUAAUACGGAGGAUUCGAGCGUUAUCCGGAUUUAUUGGGUUUAAAGGGAGCGUAGGCGGUCUGUUAAGUUAGAGGUGAAAGCCCGAGGCUCAACUUCGGAAUUGCCGCUGAUACUGGUCGGCUAGAGAGUAGUUGCGGUAGGCGGAAUGUAUGGUGUAGCGGUGAAAUGCUUAGAGAUCAUGAAGAACACCGAUUGCGAAGGCAGCUUACCAAGCUACUUCUGACGUUGAGGCUCGAAAGUGUGGGGAGCAAACAGGAUUAGAUACCCUGGUAGUC